rnacentral:rRNA from 1 species
GAUGAACGCUAGCGGCAGGCCUAAUACAUGCAAGCCGAACGGUAAGCGAUGUAGCAAUACAUUGCCUAGAGUGGCGUACGGGUGCGUAACACGUAUGCAACCUACCCUUUACAGGAGUAUAGCUCGGGGAAACUCGGAUUAAUCCUCCAUAAGAUCGUGAUCCGGCAUCGGGUAGCGAUAAAAACUGAGGUGGUAAAGGAUGGGCAUGCGGAUGAUUAGCUAGUUGGCGGGGUAACGGCCCACCAAGGCGAUGAUCAUUAGGGGAACUGAGAGGUUGAUCCCCCACACUGGCACUGAGAUACGGGCCAGACUCCUACGGGUGGCUG